GAGACAGCAGUAGCCGCGGGAAAACGUGGGUGGCAAGCGUUGUCCGGAAUUAUUGGGCGUAAAGGGCUCGCAGGCGGUUUCUUAAGUCUGAUGUGAAAGCCCCCGGCUCAACCGGGGAGGGUCAUUGGAAACUGGGAAACUUGAGUGCAGAAGAGGAGAGUGGAAUUCCACGUGUAGCGGUGAAAUGCGUAGAGAUGUGGAGGAACACCAGUGGCGAAGGCGACUCUCUGGUCUGUAACUGACGCUGAGGAGCGAAAGCGUGGGGAGCGAACAGGAUUAGAUACCCCGGUAGUCCCUGUCUCUUAUAA
rnacentral:rRNA from 1 species